rnacentral:lncRNA from 1 species
AGCUUGCCUGUGCACAAUCCACAGCAUCCAACCGCAGGAAACGGAGCACGGCACACAGAACCAUUCAAGCACUCAACCAGGAAGCGAAACCGACACCACCGCACCCGGAAAACCCGCCUUCUCUUCUGACACGCAGGUCUGCCUGGAGGCUCUGAUUGGCCAGUAAGUCUUGAGCCCCAGGGAGGAACCACCACUGCACCUAUCACUGCUCAGCCGCUUGCUCCUCCCCUAUGUGAACAGUUGACCCCGUGCUCAGCAAGUCCUUGACUUUUCAGCCUGAGCUUUCCUCACUCAGUAGACUGUUUGCCUUCCUCCUGGAAUCAAGAUAACUGUGCUGUGAAAAGUGCUGGAGUCCAUCUCUGGUGGGGUUCUGGAACCUGAAGACAGAUGUGUGGUCUCCGCAAAAGUGAGGACUCUGACUACCUGUUAGACCUUUCAACCAAGUGGCACUGAAUAGCUCGAGUCAUCUUUCUUUAAACAAUCUUUCUUUAAACAAUCACAAGCCUGCUCCCAGGAGCAGUGAUAUCAUUGGUUAUUCUACUUAAUGAAAUCAUAACAUCAGCAUUAUAAAAGCCCCAUCACUGUAAAAGCCCCCAAUAGUUUUCCUUCCUCCUUCCCAUCUCCUGCUAUCGAUUGAGGAAUGUAAGCUCCAGGGAUGUGGCAGACAGCAUCUGGUGUGCUCCAACUCAGAGAAGCCUUCGUGCAGCAAAAAAGAUGUUACAGAUAUUUCCCUUAGCAAACAAGGAUCAGAAACUCUAUACACAAUGCAGGAUUUUCACAUGCCUCUUUCUGCUCAUUUAUGAUACAAACUGUUAAAUGGUUGUUGCUUCCCUCGAUGAGUUAUUCUGAUUAAAGAUUAUCUGGAAA